GUUUGAGGUUUUUGGAAUAAUAAGCAUAUUACAAGAUAUUGGUGUGGGUGUGCUAGAAGUUAGUUGAUGUACAUAUCUAAAUACAUUGAGAUAUUGCGAAUUAUUCAUUUGGUGAAAUGCUUUACUAUAGACUAAAAUUGCUUUUCUGUACAAAAAUCUAUAUGAAAUGGACAUCAAUAGUAAAUCUCCAAAAAGUAAAUUUGACGAUUUCAUAUCGUUACACUCAUAUGUUUAUAUAGAAUAAAUGGGGCUGUCCUUUUUGCUUACUUAUCAUGAUCAUGAUUAACAUUUUUUGCACCUAACCAAACGGUACAUUGUUAAUUUAAAUAUGGGAAAAAAUGACUUCCUUUUACUUAAUCCGUAUUCAAUACAUGCAUGCAAUUAAAU
rnacentral:lncRNA from 1 species